CGGCAAAGGAAGACCUUUCUCUGUCUCUCUCUCUCACUGUCCACUCUGCCUGUCAAAAAAAUAAAUAAAAAGCCAAUAUCCAAGAUAUGGCAAAACAUGAUCAUACUCAACAGGAAGUAUUCCAGACAAAGCAAGACCUGUUCUUUUCCAUUCUUCCUUAAAUUACAGUUCUUCUCCUUUCCAUGCCUAACAUUUCUGUGUUCUAGUUCAUGUAGAUUACUCUGAAAGCUUCCUAGGACACAAAUGGCAUCCUUUCCCCCUGAGAGGACUAAUAGUGACAAGUGCCUUUUAGGUUCUUGAUGUUAAGUGAAUGAAAUGGUGAGGCAUGUCACAAGCUUUGUGGUUUAAUACCUUUACCAAAAACACUUACUGGACACUAACUCCUUGCCAUACUGUUUUCAAGAACCAAAGUUUAGGUCAAUUUCCAAGUUACAAUGUUCUUAAGACCCAAAUAAUUUCCAGGUUGUAAGAAUUCUUUGCAAGCUAAAUACAUGAAAACCUGGAUUUACUGAAAUUGGGAGGCUAUUUUUUAUUUUACAAAAGCUUCCUCAUAGGAUUCUUUUAUUUGUAUGAUAAAUUCCACGUGUAACACGUUUACACACACGAUAUGUAAAGUAAGUCGGACCCACAUUACUGGUGUAUUGCAUUCUUAACACCAAAUAUCAAACUCCAUGGGAUCUGCAAGUAUAGGAGGGAGUAUGGUUUCUCAACAUGAUGUGAAAGUCAAAUUCAGUAUCACUCUCUUCAGAACUCCAUUGUGUAUCACCAUGUGUAUAUGCACGCAUAUGCCUGUGUUCAUUCCACUCUCUGACCCUUUAUAAUUCUCCUUUUGUUCGCUUGGCUGUUUCUCUACUCCUCCUCCCCAGUUCUCUUCACUGCAUUUUCAGUUGAAUAUAUUCUUCCUUGGUCAUCUUGUAGCUUUUUAGUCUCUGCUGACUUACAUCAACAUUUAUUUCUUAGCUUCCUGAGGAAUUUUUCCUUUCUGCUUUUGUUCUGAGAUUUUCCAUUUCAUUUAGUAAUUUUUACUUCUACAAAGCGUUAUUUAGUUCAGGUUAGACAUUGUUAAUUUUUCCCACCUGCCUUAUGGUUAAGAAUUUUGGUCAGCUGUAGUUGGCUCCCCUAUUCUUCCUAUAAUAGUAUUUAUGUUUUUCUUUUCCUGCUCAUUAUUUUCUUUGACUUAGAAAAAUAGUUGGUUUUUGGUAGGCAGGGAUUACUGGGUUCCUUGAUUCAAGUGUGUUCUGUUGGUAAAGUGAAAUACUUUUAUUUCUCCGCGAUCACACUGUUUUGGUGAGGUGGGUGGGGUUGGAGUCUUAUUCUGACUCCAUAAUGGUUUUUUUUCCAUUCUGUAGGAGCCUUGCUUCCUUCACUUUACCAUCAAGCCUCUAAGAGACAUCUCGACUCUCCCAGAAAUGGUACUCUCUCAUAAUGUCCACUUAACUUUCAGACUUCUUUUAAUGCCCUAGUGGCUAGUGGUUUGACACACCAGUGUUGGUAUUCCCAUCACUGAUGGUGGAGUCCUUGAUUUUUCGCCCCAUGUUCUGCCACUGUUGGGGGACGUCCCUACUGCCCUCAUCUCUGCCACAAACUUCCCAUCGACUGUCUGACACUAUUUCCAGGUGCUGCUUGUCUGGAUUCACAUAACUGUGCUUAUUGCAAAUUUUAAAAAGGGUCAAAAGGUCACAUAAUCAAGAAAUUGAGCCACAAGUAAAGAGAGAUUUGUUAAUUCUGCCUGUGUGUUUUAAAUUACACUAUUAUCAAUUACCAUCUCUAAUUAAUUUUCCUCUCUUUCCUUCAAUUUGCCCAGCUAUAUUUCAGUGGAAUUCUCCAAGUGCCCUAAGACAGGCCAGAAAAUAACAAAAAUAUCACACUAAAAUGUUAAGUGAAAGAUAUAUGCACAUGUAAAUUAAUAUCACCUUAAAGCUCUUAUGUUUUAAUGGAUGACCACACAAAUGAAACUUUCUUGCAUACAUACAAUUGGACACCUCUGAUAAUUAGAGAUAGAUGUCUGAUGCCCCUCCUUCUGUGACUGGGGUGAUGCAGCUAUUACAAAUAUACUCAGCAGCUAGCUAUGAGUGUCAAAAUAAUUUUAAAAAUUUGACUAGAAGGGCAAGGAUUUCAAUGUUAAGAAUGCAAACAAAGCUCAUGGAUCUCAGAGUCCAAAUAACCCAGCAUAGUUCUAAAAUCACUGAGUUCCUAUUAUUUACUGUUCUCUUUCCCUUAUUAUUUAUAAAAAGUAAUACCAAACCUUCUGGACUAAGCCAGAGCUAUGGUAUAGAAAAGCACAUUAUCUGAUGAUAGGGCCCAUUAUUAAAGCCUUUAAAGGAUUAAAAAACAAAGACAGCUGGAAAUAACCACCAUAAUUUUUUCAAGAACAUUUAUACAUCUUUUUAAUUAGAUUAGCUUUACAAGCAACUUGAGAGCUCUUCCAUAAUGAAACACUGCUUUCCAAAUUACAUGACUUUAUAGCCUAUCUAUAUGGGAAUCCUGAAAUUCUUUGCCUACUAUUGAUAAAGUUCUGUGUUUUACAGCUGGUUAAUGUGAUGAAUAAAAAUAAGCAUUGCGAAGAUUUAUCUUCAACCAGGAUUGAACACAUAUAGGCCACAAACCAUUUUCAAUUUAGUUUUAAAUAUAGUCCUGCUCGGUGACAAGUUAACGGUCCCACUAACAACAAAUGAAUAGUUUCAGUGAAUAUUAAAAGAAAUGGCUAUCCUGAUUGCUUGAUAUUUUCACACUGAUCUCCAAGAAAGUAUAUAAACUUUUUCAAAAAAAUAUAUAAUUUAAGACCUGUCUGUCAAGCACAACCAAUAGAUAGCAGACUCUGAUAACUGUACAGCUGCAAAGGUACACACAUUUGAACAACAGGGGCUCCCAAAUUAAAAGGCUGUGCUAUACAUCUUAACAGACUUCAGUCUACCUAAAACAAUUUCUACUAACGCUACAAACGAUAGUGCUUUCAAAUUGUGGCCCAAGGCAGUGCACUGCACUACAGACCAGAUGGCAAGGACAACUUGCACUCCCAGGUCGGGCUGGCAGAGAGGCACUUACUGUAGAGAUGUUAUGUUAUCAUCUGGAAGAGGAAGUGGGACAAAGCUGAACAUGGGCAAGGAAAAACAAUAAACUAUCGCUUUUUUUCCUGCAGGUUCUCCUAAGUGAGAACACGAUACCAAAUAUUUAAUCCCAUUCUAAUUCAUACUGUCAGUUUCACUAAAUAAUUUUUUUCAUGUUUUACAUGAACAAUAGCAAUCUUUUAAUAAAAAUUACUGAGCUUUCCAUAGAAAAGGUCUCUAAUUGGAUACAAACUAUACAGAUGCUAAAACUGUUGUAAAUUGAAAUAUAUAGAAAUAUUUCUGUAUACUCAGAUUUUGGCAAAGAAGAUCGAGGAAACAGGAUAGAAAACCUAAAUUGGUAAGGGCUCUUUGCUAAAGAGCCUAGGAGAAUGAAAUCUAAGACGUCUAUCUCAACUCAUUCUUUAAGUAACAGAAGUCCGGGAGGCCUUGUGUGAUUAUGUAAUGUUCCUUCUUUUUCUAAAAUGUAAAAAAGAAAACCCAUAAAACAUAAAAAUAAAAUUAUCUGGUUUUGCGCUUUUUUGUUUUUCUAAGCUAAGCAUACGUCUUUCAGUACUGACAAGAAGGCUGGCAUCACAUUUGGGGAAUGCCUCAACAGCUGUCUGAAGAGUCACUGAACAUCAAGUUUGUAACAACACAUUUCCUUCUCAAUGCAAAUUAAUCUCCCCCUGAUAUUCUUCAAAAGAGACAAAGGUUCUGAUCUGAAAAUCAGACGGAUCAUAGUAUUAGGAAGAAAACAAUAAAUUUGAAAGUACAAUCCGUUUGAGAAGCAAAAGGGAAAACCUUAGAAAUGGGAAAUCAUCAUCUAGCUCUAGAGGAAACACCUGAAUGCAGAAGAAAGCCCUUUAUCUUAGGAACUUGAUGCUGAGGAUAAUCUCAAGUUCAUUCAGUGCCAGUCACUUUCGUUUUGUUUAAAAAAAAAAAAAAACUUGAAAAGAUAAACCCUUCUUACAGUGUAUUUUUCCUUAUAAAACAUGAACUGAAGUUAC